UACGUAGGGUGCAAGCGUUAAUCGGAAUUACUGGGCGUAAAGCGUGCGCAGGCGGUGAUGUAAGACAGAUGUGAAAUCCCCGGGCUCAACCUGGGAACUGCAUUUGUGACUGCAUCGCUGGAGUGCGGCAGCGGGGGAUGGAAUUCCGCGUGUAGCAGUGAAAUGCGUAGAUAUGUGGAGGAACACCAAUGGCGAAGGCAGCCUCCUGGGCCGGCACUGACGCUCAUGCACGAAAGCGUGGGGAGCAAACAGGAUUAGAAACCCGGUAGU
rnacentral:rRNA from 1 species